rnacentral:snRNA from 1 species
UUACUUUGGCAGCAUAUAUGCUAAAAUUGGAACAAAUACAGAGAAGAUUAGCAUGGCCCCAGUGAAAGAAUGACACUCAAAUUCAUGAAACAUUCUGUAAUUUU